UACGUAGGGUGCAAGCGUUGUCCGGAAUUAUUGGGCGUAAAGAGCUCGUAGGCGGUCUGUCGCGUCUGCUGUGAAAACUCGGGGCUUAACUCCGGGCCUGCAGUGGGUACGGGCAGGCUAGAGUGCGGUAGGGGAGACUGGAAUUCCUGGUGUAGCGGUGAAAUGCGCAGAUAUCAGGAGGAACACCGGUGGCGAAGGCGGGGCUCUGGGCCGUAACUGACGCUGAGGAGCGAAAGCGUGGGGAGCGAACAGG
rnacentral:rRNA from 1 species